rnacentral:rRNA from 1 species
CCUACGGGUGGCAGCAGUGAGGAAUAUUGGUCAAUGGGAGGAAUCCUGAACCAGCCAUGCCGCGUGCAGGACGACGGCUCUACGAGUUGUAAACUGCUUUUGUACCGGGGUAAAAUGCUCUACGUGUAGGGUUUUGAAUGUACGGUACGAAUAAGGAUCGGCUAACUCCGUGCCAGCAGCCGCGGUAAUACGGAGGAUCCGAGCGUUAUCCGGAUUUAUUGGGUUUAAAGGGUGCGUAGGUUGUUUGAUAAGUUAGCGGUGAAAUACUGAUGCUCAACAUGAGGGCUGCCGUUGAUACUGUAGGUCUAGAGAACAGAUGAGGCAGGCGGAAUGCGUAGUGUAGCGGUGAAAUGCAUAGAUAUUACGCAGAACACCGAUUGCGAAGGCAGCUUGCUAGACUGGAUCUGACACUGAUGCUCGAAAGCGUGGGGAUCGAACAGGAUUAGAUACCCCUGUAGUC